CAGCUCACAUGUAUAUGGUUUGUGCCAUACUGGAACAUAAUUAUUAGCAACAUGGUGGUGACUAAGAGAGGAAGGAGUCAGCCAACUUGAUAUUGAUCCUACUCCUUUUUUUCCCCCUUUUUUUUUUGCUUUUGUUAUUACUAUCCCCUACAAAACGUCUUCAAGAUUGCUUCCUGUAAGAAUUCCUCCUAAAAGUAAUAGCUACAGUGCCAUAAACUGACAUAAUUCCAAUGUAGUUUAGACACACACACACACACACACACAUACAUACAUACACUAUAUAUUGUAUAAAUAUUUACACAUCUACACACUUACACACAUACAUAUAACACACACACACACAAAAUGUACAUGCCUAUAUAUCUCUCUAGAAGUACGUAGAUAAACAUAUAUAUAUAUAUAGACUAUAGCGGAUGUGUUUCAGAGUUUCAUAAAGGAUUUGAAGUAUUUCACUUAGACAAAUAGAAAUCUAUUUUACUUGGCAUAUUAUAAUCUAUCCUUUGUUUUCCUUUUUGGCAAUAAAUGUAUAGACAACAAAUAAUAUAUAUAUAUAUAUAUAUAAAUAUUCACGCACUGUAUUCAAUAUCUUGUGUGGAUGAAGUGCGCUGAUAUACUACACAUCAGCGACAAUUAAAAAACACCGAUAUUUAAAUUUAAAUCCAACAUAUAUAUAUGUGUGUAUAUGCUUUUGAUAUUUGAAUAUAAAACACACAUAGAUACAUACGUAUAUACACGUAUAUACACAAGCGAUAUUUGAUGUUGGGAAUGAAAUACACGUAUCUGCACUGACUUUUUUUGUAUCUAUGAUAGAAACACAUUUUCAUGGAUAUUUUUAUAAAUAACCUCUGCUAUUUAGUCCGUUGGGUAUUUCCACCUCAUGGGGUAAUUCUCGUGUAAGCGGUAGUUGUAGAAAUAACAAAUAUAAUUAUAAUACCACUAACCAGCAACGUCAGUGUGUAAAUAUAAAGAAUUGAAAAAAUACAAAUAAGUGGGUAUUUACUUGUUGACUUAUUUAUCUUUACUCACACGACUUUUCCCAUUGUUGAAUUAUUGGGGAAAGGAUAUUUACUCAACAUUUUAAAAUAGAAUCGGUUCACAGGGGUGGUUUUAGUUAGUGUGUAAAGCAAAGGAAAGUAAACUAAUAAUUUUCGUUUGUUUUUCUUAGAAUCGUUCAGCAUUGAGAAAUUCUCACACACACCCUUUCUUGUAAAACAGUAAACAUAAUAAGAUAUACUUACAUUAACCAGAAAAUACUAUAAAUUAAAAACAGUUGAAAAAAAUGAAAAAAAAGGAGGAAUAAAAAAAAAGGAUAGCAAUUUAAUUAGAAAUAUAUUUAAAAAAAAAAAAAACAUUGCCUACUAAGCACCUGUUAAGCCCUUCCUUAAGAGUUUGGUCCUUGUUUCAGUCCCGACUGUAGUCUGGACUAGCUUUUGACAUGGGCUUUCUCUUUUCAAAACUGUGGAGUUUAUUCACCAACGAAGGUAUGUACACAUCUUAUUUCUGAUAUUUUUCUCUAAAUUAAAUUCUUGUCUUCAUUGUAUUGUUGUUGAUGUUUUGAUGUUUAGCUCCCAUGUCAACCUGAUUGAGCAGACCCCCCCCCCCAUGAUCAAAAACGUUCCAUUGGUGACUUUCCCGUUUUGUUUUCAGGUAAUGUUUUAUGGAGAACGUUAUCCGUUUUAUUUAAAGAAUAUCGUGCUAUUUGUAAGAGAUCUGGCUGCUAUUCCUAGCAGGUGGAGCGACUAUGCAGAGACACCCUCGUUAGCUUGAGAAUAAGCAUGUUUUGCUUACUAGUGUUGUCAAUAUUUUAAUAAUAAUAAUGAUUUUUGAUAUAUACGCAAGGCCAGCUAUUUUGAGGGGAGAGGUUUCGUUGAUACCAUCGACCCCAGGAGGAUGAAAGCAAAGUUGACCGUAGCAGGAUUUGAACUCGGUAAAUAGUCAGAAAGUAAUAAUAAUUAAUGUUAAAACUGAAGAGGAGGAUGGUUUGGAUUAUAAUUGAUACUAUUUUCACAAUUAAUUUAAGGAAGGGGAAAACCAAUUUGGCAGGUUAAGGGUAUAUCAAAUGUCAGCUCCAGAGCUUUGAACUCAGAACAGUGAUUCCUAAAAUUCUUCAGACUGCUGUCCCCUUGACAACCAGGCCACAUUCCUGGCGUCUCACCCAUCACUCAUCACCACAAAUAUAGACCACUUUCUGCAGCCACAACUGUAUUUCACAAAUAAAACUUAACCUAAUUAAUCUUUUUUUUAAAUUUUUUUAUAUCCAUCACUCACUUUUGGCCAUCCCAUUAUCACCCCACUCUGGGAACCACUGCACUAAACCAUAUUAUAUAAGUCAUCAAAUUAGGCCUCUUCUCUUUCUGUGUUGUAUAUACUUGAACCGAGAUAAUGGUGAUGGCAUUGACCGAGUUGAGUGACAGACAAGUCGUUUAAUAUGAUUGACUUGCUGUAUAUAUUGCUACUUAUUUCAUGAAUAAAUAGAUAGAAAGACCAAAUUGAUUUAGUAAGAAUUAAAUUUAGAGUCAGGCGAGGAUGGCUGAGUUGUCAGAACAACUGUAAAGAAAGUAUCAACUUCCGGCGCACUGUCACAGAUACCAUAACCAUAUAUCAUCUUGUGGUAUACAUUAAUGGUAGAGGUUUUGUGUGUUAUGGUGAAAGCUGAGUAACCUGUUAUUCUUGUUAAGUAUCUGAAAUGGGGAAACACUAUAAUUUAGGUACAUGUAAUUUUAAACAUAUAUAGGUACAAGCAUGGCUUUGUGGUUAAGAAGUCAGUUUUCCAACCACAUGGUUUCAGGUUCAGUCUCACUGUGUGUAACUUUGGGUAAUUGCUUUCUACUAUAGCCCAAGUGUGGAGGCGCAUGGCUUAGUGGUUAGAGCAGUGUACUUGCAGUCGAGGGAUCGCGGGUUCAAAUCUCGGACUGGGCGAUGUGUGUGUUUAUGAGCGAAACACCUAAACUCCACGCGGCUCCUGCAGAAGGUAAUGGCAAAACUUCUGUUGACUCUUUCGCCACAACUUUCUCUCACUCUUUUCUCCUGCAUCUUGCAGCUCACCUGCGAUGGACCAGCGUCCUGUCCAGGUGAGGAACCUAUACGCCAAGGAAACCGGGAAGCCGGCCCUUAUGAGCCAAGCAUGGCUCGAGCGGGAACAAACUAUAGCCCCAGGCCAAUCAGAACCUUGUGAGUGAAUUUGGUAGAUGGAAACUGAGAGAAGCGUAAUACAUAUUAGAUGCAUGUGUUGACAUUCAUGGGAUUGUUGUAAACUAAUGUCAUUCAUUUGCAAUAUUCUGUGAAAACAUGCCCGACCAUAGGGAAAUAUUGCCUUGCUUGGAAACAGGUAAGGUUUCGCAAAACAGGAAGGGCAUCCAUCCAGCUGUUGAAAAGUCUACUUCAACAAAUUCCAUCCGACCCAUGAAAACAUGGAGAAGCAGAUGUUAAAGUGAUUAUGAUGACAUAUGUCCUGAAAGAUGCUGUUAUUUUUUUGAGUAAAAUUUUCUCUUGUCUUCAAUUAUUUUUCUGUGUUAGUAUGAAUGUUUUUGUUUUUUUUCUUAAGCAGCUUAGUCAAAGAAAUAGGAACAGCUCCCAUGACAUUUUUUCAGGGCCUCUGAUACUGGAGGUAAGGAAGGUGUGAGAAAGUUCUCAAACCAGAGCCCUGGAUCAAAGGUGUGUAACAGUGUCGUCUGCUAAAGAUAGAUAGGAAUGUUAAACCAAGUUAUAGAUGAAGUCUGCAAUCUUUAAACACCAAAAGUCUUAUUGACCAAUUUCCAACUUGUGAAUUUCAUUUGCCACUCUUUAUUUGCCCACCUCCAUCUAAGGCUAUAACAGAACGUACAUGUUGAAGGAGCUGCACAGUAGAAUUGACCCUGGAAUCAUGCAGUUGAAAUGCAAACUUUUUGACAACACAACCAUGUUUGUGUUCUUUAGUUAGGGGUUAUUGUUUGAGCAGUUGCCCCCAUCACAAUACUGCUAAUGGAUCCUAAGACUAACAGAAUCAGCAUAAUGAUUAUAAUAGUGUUUGAUAUAAGGAAGUUAGAUCACUGACCUCUCAGCUAUUGUGUGUCAUAACCAAAAUUAUUCAUUUGUUUUAUUAUUAGAUAAACAAAUCAAUUAUAAUUCUAAUCCCUUGUUAAAUCGAUUAAGCUCAAAUAUUUAAUUGUUUGAUUAUCCUUGACUAUAUUUCAGCAAGUGUGAAUGUCAAAGAAACACAUAGCAGAGUGGGUUUACCAUGAACACCUAGUGGGAACUUUAUGAAGUCAUUUAAUCUGCUAGAAAUAGCAUCCAAAUUCCCUCACAUCAUAUUAUUGUCUUAAAAAUAAGACACAUUAGACAGUGUAGUCUAAGUUAUACC
rnacentral:lncRNA from 1 species